GACAGAGGGGGCAAGCGUUGCUCGGAAUUACUGGGCGUAAAGGGCGCGUAGGCGGGAUGGCAAGUCGGUCGUGAAAUCCUUCGGCUCAACCGAAGAACGUCGAUCGAUACUGCUGUUCUUGAGGGUUGCAGAGGAGACUGGAAUUCCCGGUGUAGCGGUGAAAUGCGUAGAUAUUGGGAAGACCACCUGAGGCGAAGGCGGGUUGCUGGGCCGACACUGACGCUGAUGCGCGAAAGCCAGGGGAGCGAACGGG
rnacentral:rRNA from 1 species